AAAAAAUUAGUUAAAUUUAAUAACAUUAGUUUGUCAAACUAAAAUUAUAAAUAUUUAUAUUUUUUA
rnacentral:tRNA from 1 species